rnacentral:rRNA from 1 species
GGAUUAGAUACCCUGGUAGUCCACGCCGUAAACGAUGUCUACUUGGAGGUUGUGCCCUUGAGGCGUGGCUUCCGGAGCUAACGCGUUAAGUAGACCGCCUGGGGAGUACGGCCGCAAGGUUAAAACUCAAAUGAAUUGACGGGGGCCCGCACAAGCGGUGGAGCAUGUGGUUUAAUUCGAUGCAACGCGAAGAACCUUACCUGGUCUUGACAUCCACAGAACUUUCCAGAGAUGGAUUGGUGCCUUCGGGAACUGUGAGACAGGUGCUGCAUGGCUGUCGUCAGCUCGUGUUGUGAAAUGUUGGGUUAAGUCCCGCAACGAGCGCAACCCUUAUCCUUUGUUGCCAGCGGUCCGGCCGGGAACUCAAAGGAGACUGCCAGUGAUAAACUGGAGGAAGGUGGGGAUGACGUCAAGUCAUCAUGGCCCUUACGACCAGGGCUACACACGUGCUACAAUGGCGCAUACAAAGAGAAGCGACCUCGCGAGAGCAAGCGGACCUCAUA